rnacentral:snRNA from 1 species
AGCUUUGCGCAGUGGCGGUACCAUGGACAAUGAGGCUUAUCCCAGGUGUGGUUAUUACUAGUUGAAGCUAUACCCAAUACUGAAGACGUGAAAUCGUUAAAGAAAG